UCGAGGAUCUUCGGCAAUGGGCGCAAGCCUGACCGAGCGACGCCGCGUGCGGGAUGAAGGCCUUCGGGUUGUAAACCGCUGUCAGAGGGGAUGAAUGGCCGUAGGGUUCUCCCUACGGUUCGACAUAUCCUCAGAGGAAGGACGGGCUAAGUUCGUGCCAGCAGCCGCGGUAAGACGAACCGUCCAAACGUUAUUCGGAAUCACUGGGCUUAAAGGGUGCGUAGGCGGUUCGGAAAGUUGGGUGUGAAAGCCCUCGGCUCAACCGAGGAAUUGCGCCCAAAACUACCGGGCUUGAGGGAGAUAGAGGUGAGCGGAACUUAGGGUGGAGCGGUGAAAUGCGUUGAUAUCCUAAGGAACACCAGUAGCGAAAGCGGCUCACUGGGUCUCUUCUGACGCUGAGGCACGAAAGCUAGGGGAGCGAAGA
rnacentral:rRNA from 1 species